GACGAACGCUGGCGGCGUGCUUAACACAUGCAAGUCGAACGGAAAGGCCCUGCUUUUGUGGGGUGCUCGAGUGGCGAACGGGUGAGUAACACGUGAGUAACCUGCCCUUGACUUUGGGAUAACUUCAGGAAACUGGGGCUAAUACCGGAUAGGAGCUCCUGCUGCAUGGUGGGGGUUGGAAAGUUUCGGCGGUUGGGGAUGGACUCGCGGCUUAUCAGCUUGUUGGUGGGGUAGUGGCUUACCAAGGCUUUGACGGGUAGCCGGCCUGAGAGGGUGACCGGAGAAAUUGGGACUGAAAGACGGCCGGGACUAGAACGGGAGGGGAGGGUGGGGAGGAGUGAAGGGGAGAAGGAGGGAAAGUGCGACAGAGCGAGGUGGGGUAAGAGGGGAAGGGGUUAGGGAAGCGAAGACGCCGGAAACGGGGGGAGAAUGACGGUAAUGGGUAAAUAAGCACGGGCUAACUACGUG
rnacentral:rRNA from 1 species